rnacentral:rRNA from 1 species
GGGCGGGACACGUGAUAUCCUGUCUGAAUAUGGGGGGACCAUCCUCCAAGGCUAAAUACUCCUGACUGACCGAUAGUGAACCAGUACCGUGAGGGAAAGGCGAAAAGAACCCCUGUGAGGGGAGUGAAAUAGAACCUGAAACCGUGUACGUACAAGCAGUAGGAGCACCUUCGUGGUGUGACUGCGUACCUUUUGUAUAAUGGGUCAGCGACUUAUAUUCAGUGGCAAGGUUAACCGUAUAGGGGAGCCGUAGCGAAAGCGAGUCUUAACUGGGCGCUCAGUCUCUGGAUAUAGACCCGAAACCGGGUGAUCUAGCCAUGGGCAGGUUGAAGGUUGAGUAACAUCAACUGGAGGACCGAACCGACUAAUGUUGAAAAAUUAGCGGAUGACUUGUGGCUAGGGGUGAAAGGCCAAUCAAACUCGGAGAUAGCUGGUUCUCCCCGAAAGCUAUUUAGGUAGCGCCUCGGACGAAUACUACUGGGGGUAGAGCACUGUUAAGGCUAGGGGGUCAUCCCGACUUACCAACCCUUUGCAAACUCCGAAUACCAGUAAGUACUAUCCGGGAGACACACGGCGGGUGCUAACGUCCGUCGUGGAGAGGGAAACAACCCAGACCGCCAGCUAAGGUCCCAAAGUAUUGCUAAGUGGGAAACGAUGUGGGAAGGCUCAGACAGCUAGGAUGUUGGCUUAGAAGCAGCCAUCAUUUAAAGAAAGCGUAAUAGCUCACUAGUCGAGUCGGCCUGCGCGGAAGAUGUAACGGGGCUAAGCAAUACACCGAAGCUGCGGCAAUGUCUUUUAGACAUUGGGUAGGGGAGCGUUCUGUAAGCCGUUGAAGGUGAAUCGUAAGGUUUGCUGGAGGUAUCAGAAGUGCGAAUGCUGACAUGAGUAACGACAAAGGGGGUGAAAAACCUCCUCGCCGGAAGACCAAGGGUUCCUGUCCAACGUUAAUCGGGGCAGGGUGAGUCGACCCCUAAGGUGAGGCCGAAAGGCGUAAUCGAUGGGAAACGGGUUAAUAUUCCCGUACUUCUGACUAUUGCGAUGGGGGGACGGAGAAGGCUAGGUGGGCCAGGCGACGGUUGUCCUGGUUCAAGUGCGUAGGCUUGAGAGUUAGGUAAAUCCGGCUCUCUCUAAGGCUGAGACACGACGUCGAGCUACUACGGUAGUGAAGUCAUUGAUGCCAUGCUUCCAGGAAAAGCCUCUAAGCUUCAGAUAGUCAGGAAUCGUACCCCAAACCGACACAGGUGGUCGGGUAGAGAAUACCAAGGCGCUUGAGAGAACUCGGGUGAAGGAACUAGGCAAAAUGGUACCGUAACUUCGGGAGAAGGUACGCUCUUGAUGGUGAAGUCCCUCGCGGAUGGAGCUGACGAGAGUCGCAGAUACCAGGUGGCUGCAACUGUUUAUUAAAAACACAGCACUGUGCAAAAUCGCAAGAUGACGUAUACGGUGUGACGCCUGCCCGGUGCCGGAAGGUUAAUUGAUGGGGUUAGCGCAAGCGAAGCUCUUGAUCGAAGCCCCGGUAAACGGCGGCCGUAACUAUAACGGUCCUAAGGUAGCGAAAUUCCUUGUCGGGUAAGUUCCGACCUGCACGAAUGGCGUAAUGAUGGCCACGCUGUCUCCACCCGAGACUCAGUGAAAUUGAAAUCGCUGUGAAGAUGCAGUGUACCCGCGGCUAGACGGAAAGACCCCGUGAACCUUUACUACAGCUUGGCACUGAACAUUGAACCUACAUGUGUAGGAUAGGUGGGAGGCUAUGAAGACGUGACGCCAGUUGCGUUGGAGCCGUCCUUGAAAUACCACCCUUGUAUGUUUGAUGUUCUAACUUAGACCCAUUAUCUGGGUUGAGGACAGUGCCUGGUGGGUAGUUUGACUGGGGCGGUCUCCUCCCAAAGAGUAACGGAGGAGCACGAAGGUGGGCUAAUCACGGUUGGACAUCGUGAGGUUAGUGCAAUGGCAUAAGCCCGCUUAACUGCGAGAAUGACGGUUCGAGCAGGUGCGAAAGCAGGUCAUAGUGAUCCGGUGGUUCUGUAUGGAAGGGCCAUCGCUCAACGGAUAAAAGGUACUCCGGGGAUAACAGGCUGAUACCGCCCAAGAGUUCAUAUCGACGGCGGUGUUUGGCACCUCGAUGUCGGCUCAUCACAUCCUGGGGCUGAAGUCGGUCCCAAGGGUAUGGCUGUUCGCCAUUUAAAGUGGUACGCGAGCUGGGUUUAGAACGUCGUGAGACAGUUCGGUCCCUAUCUGCCGUGGGCGUUGGAAGAUUGAAGGGGGCUGCUCCUAGUACGAGAGGACCGGAGUGGACGAACCUCUGGUGUUCGGGUUGUGUCGCCAGACGCAUUGCCCGGUAGCUAAGUUCGGAAUUGAUAAGCGCUGAAAGCAUCUAAGCGCGAAGCGAGCCCUGAGAUGAGUCUUCCCUGACAGUUUAACUGUCCUAAAGGGUUGUUCGAGACUAGAACGUUGAUAGGCAGGGUGUGUAAGCGUUGUGAGGCGUUGAGCUAACCUGUACUAAUUGCCCGUGAGGCUUAACCAU